rnacentral:rRNA from 1 species
UAGGGAAUCUUCGGCAAUGGGGGCAACCCUGACCGAGCAACGCCGCGUGAGUGAAGAAGGUUUUCGGAUCGUAAAGCUCUGUUGUAAGAGAAGAACGAGUGUGAGAGUGGAAAGUUCACACUGUGACGGUAACUUACCAGAAAGGGACGGCUAACUACGUGCCAGCAGCCGCGGUAAUACGUAGGUCCCGAGCGUUAUCCGGAUUUAUUGGGCGUAAGGCGAGCGCAGGCGGUUAGAUAAGUCUGAAGUUAAAGGCUGUGGCUUAACCAUAGUACGCUUUGGAAACUGUUUAACUUGAGUGCAGAAGGGGAGAGUGGAAUUCCAUGUGUAGCGGUGAAAUGCGUAGAUAUAUGGAGGAACACCGGUGGCGAAAGCGGCUCUCUGGUCUGUAACUGACGCUGAGGCUCGAAAGCGUGGGGAGCAAACAGGAUUAGAUACCCUGGUAGUCCACGCCGUANACGAUGAGUGCUAGGUGUUGGGUCCUUUCCGGGACUCAGUGCCGCAGCUAACGCAUUAAGCACUCCGCCUGGGGAGUACNACCGCANNGUUG